CUACGGGAGGCACCAGUGGGGAAUUUUGGACAAUGGGCGCAAGCCUGAUCCAGCCAUUCCGCGUGAGUGAAGAAGGCCUUCGGGUUGUAAAGCUCUUUCGCAAGGGAAGAAAACUUAUCCUCUAACAUAGGGUGAGGUUGACGGUACCUUGAUAAGAAGCACCGGCUAACUACGUGCCAGCAGCCGCGGUAAUACGUAGGGGGCGAGCGUUAAUCGGAAUUACUGGGCGUAAAGCGUGCGCAGGCUGUUUUGUAAGUCAGAUGUGAAAUCCCCGGGCUCAACUUGGGAACUGCGUUUGAAACUACAAGACUAGAAUAUGUCAGAGGGGGGUAGAAUUCCAUGUGUAGCAGUGAAAUGCGUAGAGAUGUGGAGGAAUACCAAUGGCGAAGGCAGCCCCCUGGGAUAAUAUUGACGCUCAUGCACGAAAGCGUGGGGAGCAAACAGGAUUAGAUACCCGUGUAGUC
rnacentral:rRNA from 1 species